GUAAAUAUAGUUUAACCAAAACAUUAGAUUGUGAAUCUAACAAUAGAAGAUAACAACUUCUUAUUUACC
rnacentral:tRNA from 1 species